rnacentral:rRNA from 1 species
UACAGAGGAUGCAAGCGUUAUCCGGAAUGAUUGGGCGUAAAGCGUCUGUAGGUGGCUUUUUAAGUCCGCCGUCAAAUCCCAGGGCUCAACUCUGGACAGGCGGUGGAAACUACCAAGCUUGAGUACGGUAGGGGCAGAGGGAAUUUCCGGUGGAGCGGUGAAAUGCGUAGAGAUCAGGAAGAACACCGGUGGCGAAAGCGCUCUGCUAGGCCGCAACUGACACUCAUGGACGAAAGCUAGGGGAGCGAAUGGG